rnacentral:lncRNA from 10 species
AAUUAACAGGAGAAAAAGCAAACAAAUUUAUUUGAUCAUAAUUGUAUGUGAGCCCUCAGAAUGAAGACCCCAAGAUACAGGGGAAUUGUCCAUUUUUAUGUUUAGGUUCAACAGAUUAUGGACUGUGUAGAAAUAUGAUUGGACAAGAAGGGUAUGAUCUAAUAGUAAUAGACUGAGAGGGGAAACCCAGCAAGGCUGUCUAGAUUCUUCUUGGCCUCUCUGUGCAGGAUUCCUUCCUUCUGGGCACGGGGUGGGACCCUCUCUGGAAUGGGUAUCUUACGACAGUCAAACACGGUAGGUCAGAUCAUUUCUUUCCAACCAGUUUUUACACAGAAAGGGGAAUGGGGAGUGAGAGGACUAUUUUUAGGUUUUAUGGCUGGCUUUGGGUAAAACCGGUUCUGGUUUCUGAUGACCUGCCUUGGGGAAGAGGGAUUCUAGUUUCUAUGGGUAGCCUUGGGGGAGAAUGAAAAGCCAGAAACAAGAGGGCAGGAGAAGGUCAGAGAGAAACUUUUGCUUCUGGGGCUGCUUCUGAGGCCUUCCUUUUAAAGUUAUCAGAGAUGAUCAGGGGCAUCCUGGCUCCAGGUAAGGUCUCCUGACGUGAGUGUGCUGGUCUUCCACACUGGAUGCCGAGCCUUUUAAAGGGUGGUUUUCAACCUUGGCUGCAUAUUGGAAUCACUCCAGGAGCUUUAAGAAAUAUUGUUGGCCUGGUGCUGUGGCUCAUGUCUGUAAUCCCUGAGCUUUGGAAGGCUGAGGUGGGAGGAUAUCACUUGAGCCCAGAAGUUAAGGCAGCAGUGAGCCAUGAUUGCAUUACUGCACUCUAGCCUAGGUGACAAGCAAGAUUCUAUCUAAAAAAAAAAAAAAAAAAGUUGCUUGGGGCCUACCCCAGAGAUUCUGAUUUAAUAAUUUUUACACUGCACCCCGCCCCCAACCCCCGCACCAGGUGAUUCUACUGUGUAUCCGAGAUUGAGAACCACCAGCUUUACAGCAAGGACAUUUUCUUACGUUCUUUGAAUUUUCUUGCAUUUCUUUGCAUGUGGAUUCUCAGUUUAUCAAAUAAAUAAAAAGGAAACCUGCAAAUGCUUGUCAAAGGCUGCUGAAACUUCAAGUCCAAAGCCCACAGAGAUUAAUGACUUUAAUCUGUAUAGUCCUUUAGAACCAUGCUUCUCAAAGUGUGACCCAUGGACCAGCAGAACAUCAAGAUCACCUGGAACCUGUUAGAAAUGCAGAGGCUGGCCACGUGUGGUGGCUUACACCUGUAAUCUAAACACUUUGGGAGGCCAGGAGUUUGAGACCAGCCUGGGCAAUACAGGGAGACCCCCAUCCCUACAAAAAUAAAAUCUGUUGGGUACGGUGGCAUCCACCUGUAAGCCCAGUAACUUGGUAGGCUGAGCCAGAACAGCUUGCAGCCAGUUUGCAGCUGCAGUGAGCCAUGACUGGGGCCACUAAUUACACUCUAGCCUAGGUGACAGAGCAAGACCCUGUACAUAAAGAAAAAAAAAAAGCAGAAACUCAGGCCCACCCAGACUGCCCACUGGAAUCUUGAGAGCUGCAAAUCAUUGAUUUUCAGCACAAACAAUUUUGCUCACCCCGGACACGGAGAGACUUGAACAAACACUAGCAUAGUUUCUAGCAGCUCAAGGCCCUGUCUCAGGGAUAACCCAGGCCCCUUUGGGUCCCUGCCUGGGGAAGCUCAAGGCUGCCAAAAGAAUUUACCAUUUGUUUCAGCCAAUGCCUGAUCAUAGGUUUCUAAUCUCCCUCGUUUUUCUUGAGAUGGAGUCACACUCUGUCACCCAGGCUGAAGUGCAGUGGCGUGAUCCCGGCUCACUGCACCCUCCGCCUCCUGGGUUCAAGCGAUUCUCCUGCCUCAGCCACCCGAGUAGCUGGGAUUACAGGUGCGCGCCACCACAACAGGCUAACUUUUGUAUUUUUAGUAGAGACAGGGUUUCACCAUGUUGGCCAGGCUGCUCUUGAACUCCUGACCUCAGGUGAUGCACCCACCUUGGCCACCCAAAGUGCUGGGAUUAUAGGCAUGAGCCAUGGCACCCAGUCCCUCCCUCUUCUUAGAGGACAUACUUUAUAAAAUUUACAAUUGUAAAUCCUUUCUGUCCCUUUGGGGGAUAUAUGUAUCUUCUGCUGCACAGGAAUGUGUUUCUCACUUUUUCUGGGAGCCAUCCCUUUGUCAUAUAAUUAUCAGGAAUGAUAAGGCCGACUCCUGGUCUCUGUGGGAGGCUAGGAUCCUAACUUUGAUAAAUAAAUUUGAGAGUUAGUAGACACAGAUAGCCGAAUCACAUUGACCAAUCUCCUUACCAGCUUUUUGUAAUUUUGCACUUCCCUAGUUCUAUUUGAACCUCCUCCCUCCCCUCUUUAAAAUUCCAUCACCUCUGCACAGAUUGGAGCUAAGCUCAGUUCUAUACUGAGGACUCUCUCCUUCUGCAGUAGUUAUUGAGUAAAAUCUGUCAUUAUUGCCUUUAGCGUCCAGCUUUUUAAGUCUCCAUUUUAAUAAGGGGAAAAAAGUUGGUGAGAGCUCACAAAAAACCAAACAUGUUUCUCUUGAUGCAUCUCCAUUGGUGCAAUGUCCUCUCAGGUUUUUUUUUUUGAUAUGGAGUUUCGCUCUUGUUGCCCAAGCUGGAGUGCAGUGGCACGAUCUCGGCUCACUGCAACCUCUGCCUCCUGGGUUCAAGCGAUUCUCCUGCCUCAGCCUCCCAAGUAGCUGGGAUUACAGGCAUGUACCACCCCGUCUGUCUAAUAUUUUGUAUUUUUAGUAGAGAUGGGGUUUCACCAUGCUGGCCAGGCUGGUCUCGAACUCCUGACCUCAAGUGAUCCUUCUACCUCGACUUCCCAAAGUGCUAGGAUUACAGGCGUGAGCCACCACACCUGACCUCAGGUUCUUCUUUAGUUGCAAGAGAACUGUUUCACCAUCAAGUGUCUUAGGUAUUAAAGUUCUAAGUUUAGGUACUGAGUUAUCCUAUCAGUAGCUGGAGUCCCAAGGAUGACAGGUACCAACCCUGUGCAAGUACCAAAGGCUAUGGCCUCAAAUGCUGCAGAAGCCCAGCCCUUUAAGGGCCCAUGCAUACCCCAUGCAACCACUGCUACAUGAAGUCAGGUGCAGGCAUGGUCUUAGUGGGUCUUAGUCCCGAACCACUCAACCCUAACUCACUCUGCAUACUCAAUCCCGAUGCUCUCCUACUUUCCCAGCUUUACCUCCAACAUCAGUAUCCAUUCUUGCUUUCCUGGGUAAACACUGAUUCCUUUCUCCUCCUGGCUGGGCCAGUCCCCUGGGUAAACACUAUUUCCUAUUUCCACCCCCACCUUUCUACUCCUGGGCCAGUUUGAUGCCUUGAGUAGACUCCCUGUGGCCGAGCUCCCUGGUAGGUCUUGAUGAUGUCACUCAAACUUACACGACAAAAUUCAAACAAAAAAGAUAAAGUUAUAUUUCAUCAUCUCUAUGUCCUUUCUUCUGAUUUGCCAAAUUAGGCUAAAAGACCAAUAGAAAAACAGCUACCAAUUUUAAACACCAAAGUCAUUCCUCUAGGAAAGACAGCAAAAUUACUAACGUGAAUGACAGGAUGAAUUUUUCCUGGUCAUUUUCAAACCACUUAGAUAGCUAGAACCAGAGGAAUCCCCCGAGGCACUUUACCCCUCAGCCAUGGAGAAUGCUGACUUUUUUUACUUUCAGCCAAUUAUAUGGUAAAUAUAAUUAUUAGUUUUAUCAGAAAAUCUUAUACAUACAGGUGAUUUCUGAUGCAUAAUUUUAUUAAAGCCAGAGAUGGACAUUUUUUCUAGAGAAACAGAUCUCUGAGGUUAGAAUGGAAGAUAAUGAAACAAGAGAUUUCACUUUAUAAUUUACCUUUGUCAAACUAUCCCAGAGCAUGUCAAUUCUAUUAUGAAA